UUUUCUUCCAGGAACAGGAGGUGAGUCCUGCAAAUGCUGAAGAUUUUUGCAUGAAAAUAAAGCAUGCAAGGGUGUGCACUAGAAAUGAUUGUGCCUGGCAUUGCAAAAGAAAUGUUCAAGGAAGCAGUGGCACCAAAAUACAGAAGUGUUCCAGAAUUGUCUUUUGCAGUUGCAAGUUUCAGCAUUGGAGGGGGAAGUACCAAGCAAGGCCUGAAUAAUAAAAUGCAUUAAAUUGACUGUAUGGAUUUUGAAGUAGUCAGUGCCCAUACAAAGUACUGCAGUGUAUGGGCCGGAAUAUUAAUUUUGCAGGCUAAUCCAUCUGGCCAUCUGCUCAUCUGAAAUUCAAACAGGGCUGUGUUUUACACGUUAAUACCCUAUAACAACCAAUAGCUAUAAAUGAUCAGCAGAAUAUGUCAUUCUGUCUUGCUCUUCCAUCAAUGAAUGAGAGUGACAUGUCAUUUAAACAUCAGCUACUGAUUAUUCCUGAUGGGCGGGAGGGUGAUAAAGCAAAUGACUGAGCCAGUAGUGAUGUUUGGCAUGCAUCUUGUGGAUCCACUUUUUUGUUGCUCUCUCCUAUGGUCCAAUUAUUAUGGGUUGUGCCAAAGGCUAGAGGAAAGAUUGUGUUUAGAUCUUCAGAUUGGAAGUAACGUGACAAAUAAUUUCCUCUGAGAAUUACUUUCCUGUGGAAAGAAUUGGUCUUGACUACUCAGUCAAGACCAAUAUUUCAAGCUCUUGACUAGCCUGUGGAAACCAUGAAUAUAUGCAGGUUUUUUCAAACCUAGUAAAAAUUUGAUUUGACAUGGUUCCAACAACCAAACUGAUGUUUUCUGUGCAGAAUUAAUAAAUACAUAUUGAGCUUUCUAAUUUGUACCUUACUUUAUUAAACAUUCAUUAAAUAGCUAAUACUAUCUGAAUCAACAUCUUUAAAUCACUGACAUUUGCCUAGUAUUUUUAAAAUUCUUACUCAGGUGUAUCAGAUCCAGUAUUUUUUCUCUUCUUUUCUUCUAACUUUGAGCUAUACAUUUUAAUUAUCUUGUUUAACAAAGGAUGCCUUUGCAGAGUAUAUAUAUAAUUCAAAUAGCUGCUGAAGUCUUUGUUGUGUCAGUGGCAAACUUGAAAUGUUUAAGAUUUUUUUGGAUAUUAUAAUUAUACUCAUUUAAUUAUUUAUCUUCUUGAUAUGCUUAUGGCAUUAGUUAUAUAAUAAACAUAUCUUCCACUCUAA